GCAGUCGAGCGACAGAAAGGAGCUUGCUCCUUUGACGUUAGCGGCGGACGGGUGAGUACACGUGGGCAACCUACCCUAUAGUUUGGGAUAACUCCGGGAAACCGGGGCUAAUACCGAAUAAUCUCUUUUGCUUCAUGGUGAAAGACUGAAAGACGGUUUCGGCUGUCGCUAUAGGAUGGGCCCGCGGCGCAUUAGCUAGUUGGUGAGGUAACGGCUCACCAAGGCGACGAUGCGUAGCCGACCUGAGAGGGUGAUCGGCCACACUGGGACUGAGACACGGCCCAGACUCCUACGGGAGGCAGCAGUAGGGAAUCUUCCACAAUGGGCGAAAGCCUGAUGGAGCAACGCCGCGUGAGUGAAGAAGGUUUUCGGAUCGUAAAACUCUGUUGUAAGGGAAGAACAAGUACAGUAGUAACUGGGCUGUACCUUGACGGUACCUUAUUAGAAAGCCACGGCUAACUACGUGCCAGCAGCCGCGGUAAUACGUAGUGGCAAGCGUUGUCCGGAAUUAUUGGGCGUAAGCGCGCGCAGCCGGUCC
rnacentral:rRNA from 1 species